AGGACGAACGCUGGCGGCGCGCUUAACACAUGCAAGUCGAACGUGAAGCCCGGGCUUGCCCGGGUGGAAAGUGGCGAACGGGUGCGUAACACGUGAGCAACCUACCCCGAAGACCGGAAUAACCCAAGGAAACUCGGGCUAAAUACCGGAUGCCCUCACCUCGUCGCAUGGCGAGAUGAGGAAAUGGAUUCCGCUUCGGGAUGGGCUCGCGGCCUAUCAGCUUGUUGGUGGGGUAACGGCCUACCAAGGCGACGACGGGUAGCUGGUCUGAGAGGAUGUCCAGCCACACUGGGACUGAGACACGGCCCAGACUCCUACGGGAGGCAGCAGUGGGGAAUCUUGCGCAAUGGGCGAAAGCCUGACGCAGCGACGCCGCGUGCGGGAUGACGGCCUUCGGGUUGUAAACCGCUUUCAGCAGGGACGAUUGUGACGGUACCUGCAGAAGACGCCCGGCCAACUACGCGCCAGCAGCCGCGGUAA
rnacentral:rRNA from 1 species